rnacentral:lncRNA from 1 species
UCAAUUCACUCAUCUUUCUCUCUUCAUUUCCUCUCUCAUUCAUCUCUCUUUUCUCUCCUUUUCCAUUCUCUAUUUUUCCUCCUCUCGAAAGAGUGUUUGCAAGGUUUGAGAGCAGCCCCAAUUUGGCCACAUUGAAAACUUUUUAACUUGGUUGCUUCUGUAAGAAAGGAAGAGCCAAGAAAGGAGUAAGCGAGCUAUCCUUUAUAUCUUUUACUUUUUUCUCAAUUUCAUGAACUUGAUUGCAACUAAGUUUUUUGUUUUCAAUAAUAUCAUGAUUUCUUAAUUCUGUUUGUGUUAGAAUGAUUUUAUCACCAUGGUUUAGUUUAUUUAAUUUUGUAAAAAGUGUUCUGUGCUUUCAAUUGAUUUACUCAUGCAAGUAAAUUCAUGAUUAUAUUUCUUAUGCAUUAUGAAUGUAAAGAGAUAAUUAAAUUAAUUAAUGAAUUUAAACAAGGUUUUAAUUAAUUUAAAAAAUACUUGUAUGGUGUAUGUUUAAUCGAUUAGAGAUUAAACUUGUAAUAAUAUCCAAACUAUUAUUACCUUACAUAAGAAUGUAAAAUGUUGUACUUAUGAGAUUAUAAGUUUAUUAAACAUAGAAAUAUGUUAGGUAAACCUAGUAAUUAAAUAAAUUUAACAUCUUUACCCUAUUAAAUGAAGGUUAGUAAAUGAUGAACUUGCCACAGAAUAUCUGUAGCAUCUUGAACAGUAUUUAAAUAAAUCAAAGCUAGGAAAGAAGAUUAUCCUAACACAAGCAUGCUAUUGUGAUAACUCUUAAAACUUGCAUACUUAGGUAAUUUGUAGUUAAUUAAAUUAGUUAAUUAACUAUUAUUUGUUUGCAUCACAUUUUAAACAUUUUUCAGCACCAAUUUAAUCAAGUUUUAAUUUUUCUCAAAGAAUUGUUUAUAUAGUCUCUAUGGAGAUGAUACUCUAUACUUAUCACUUUAUUACUUGUCAUGAUUGUGUACACUUGAACGUUUUUGUCGUUCUAGUAAGUAUUUUGAGGAUCGUACCCAAGAGAUCUCAUAAUGGAGAAUUUUAUUAUUAAAUUAAUUACAAAAAAUAAUUACUAAUCUAAUUGAGUAAUGAAUUAGUAAUGUGAAUCCAAGUUAAAUUAUUAAUUAAACUAAUUAAAUUAAUUAACCUAAACUAACAUAAUGGACUUUCCUAUUCCUAGUGUUAAUGAUGCGAGCCUCUAGCCUAUGAUCGAUUAAGAAAUCUUAAUUAACAAGCAGAAAAUAAACUUCAAAACUUGGGUAGUUUUUUAAAGAAUUAGUUAUUAAUUAAUUAGUAUUACCUCCCGGCCUUUACUAAUUAACUAAUCGAUAGGCAUUAGCUUAUCUCCUAACCUCACUUUCUCCACCGCGAUAAAUUAUGAUUUACUCAGCAAAGUUAUCUCUCAACCUCGUUUGACCUAGAUUACUUCCUAGGGUCAUAAAUCCUAGGGUUUAGUCACACAUAAUUUAUACAAACUAAUUCUAUGAUAAACCACUAUUCUUCCGUUAAUUAAUCUACUUAAUUAAUUGAUCAGUUCUAUAACCAAAUCAUGCAAGAUAGAAAUAAAGCAUGAGAAUUUAUCAUAAUAUUCGUACAAACGUUAAUUAGCCAGAUAAAUGAAAUAUAAGUAAAAGAAUAAAAUAAAAGUGUAAAGAGAAUGCUCAUGAAUAAUAUAUUGGAGUGCAGUUCUGGAACAAUUUCUGCUCGCAAAUGUAUUUACCUCAAAAUAGGAAUUUUGACUACUGAAAAAUAAAAUAAAAAAAAACUGAAUAAAAUAAAACUAUCUAGGUUUGAAUCUAAAUCUACACUUUCCAGGUGACCCUAAGGUGACUUAUAUAGGCUAAAUGUUAUUUGGUGCCCACACAACCCUAGAUACACAUUGAAACUAUUAAUGCAAGAUAUUAUUAAUUUACUAGGGUUUAAUUAAGGAAAUAUCCCAAUAUUAUUGUCCAAGGAAUCAACCCUUCUUUCCACAUUUUCGUCGCAUCAUCAUGACGUCCAAAAGGACCACGUCGCGAUGUCAUGUAUCUUUCAGCCCUGGCAGCUUUAAAGUUCUAUGUCGCAACACGAGAACCCUUGCAUCACGAGACAAUCAUCGCCCCUUGCAUCAUGGGCUUGAAUUGACACCCUACACAGUCAAAUAGCCCAUUAGUCAUUCCCAAAGCCCAAGUUGGCCUUACAGGUCAUCAAUAUACUAAAAAGUGCAUAAAAAAUGCUCAUUUUGCAAAUAAUUAAAUCUAAACUAUGAAUACUGAAAAUGCAUGUAAAUAUUAUAAAUUCACUAGAAAACAAGCUUCUUAAGUGUCGAAGUGUACCUAAACUACCCCUACAAUUGGCGACAAGUCACUGAUUCACUGUAGUUAAGGGAAGGAUUCAGUUUCUUUUGAGGGACGAACUGCUACACCAGAUGUCCCUCCAAUUCCUAAGUCCCAAACAGAAUCCACCAGCCCCACGAAACUCCGUAUCCCUACUUCUAUGCCACUUUCUGUGGAGCCUAAUUUUGGUACAUUCUACUUCAUUCCACGGGUUUCUCCUCUUAGUUCCCUACUACUAACUUCUGCAACUAGCAAGGUAAACAUUUUAUUCCUUUGGAAGGAUCGCAUAAGUGUAUGGUAGUAUCCUUUCUCCCUUAAUGAAGUUAGACAGAAAUGAGCAGACUUGUCCCUAGAGUUGAAAGAGUGUGCCUACCAGUCAUCUUCCUUAACUAGUCCCCAAAAGCCUUCUCUGGAAGAAUUAGUAGGUUUUUUUCCAAAUGAUGUAGGCGGAGUAUGGACUACUUGGUUCAACCUUAAUUGAAGGUUGUAAUGAGAAUAAGGCCAAACAGGUUGAGUUCGAGAAGCCCAUAGGUUCUUGUGAGGGAUAACAUAAUUAGCUCAGCCAAAUUUAUGUGGACACAAUCCACUAGAACAGGGAGCUCACUAAAUCUAUCUCCACUUGGGAGACCAGAGGAGUAUCUUAGAAGCCAAAGAGAAAGAUAUGGGGAAAGUGUUUGCCAAUUGAAGGCCAAAAAGAAAGCCGUAGAGGAGCAACAACUUGCUAAUCUGAUGAAGCUCCAAAAGGAAAGCAACGAGGUCGAGGAGAAAUUUAAGAUAGAAAACAAAGUCAAUAUAAGGAACUACCUGCCGAACUUGAGGUCAAGUGUCAUAUUGCAUGCCCAAGUUGUUGUAGGCUCUUUUGAUGUGAGUCAGGUAGACUUCAAUUGCAUGCACAAACUCAUAAAUUCUAACCUUAGCUUUGGCUUUCUCUAUCCCUCAGGUGAGGAGUGGGAUGAGUUUCAGAAGGAACGAAGAGAAUCAAGCAAACUAUUCAUCCCCAUGAACCCGAGGUGACCAGCCCUGCUCCCACUGAAGAAACUAGCCAAGAGGUAAAUGAAGAUCCAGAGAAUGUUACUACUGAUGCUCCGCCAACUGAGGGAGAGAAUUAAUUUUUCUUAUUAUUGUACUUUCCAUCCUUAUAAAUGUUGAUUCCAAACUUAUUAAAACUUUUCUUGUUUUGCAUAAUU